UACGGAGGAUCCAAGCGUUAUCCGGAUUUAUUGGGUUUAAAGGGUGCGUAGGCGGUUUGAUAAGUUAGAGGUGAAAUACCGGUGCUUAACACCGGAACUGCCUCUAAUACUGUUGAACUAGAGAGUAGUUGCGGUAGGCGGAAUGUAUGGUGUAGCGGUGAAAUGCUUAGAGAUCAUACAGAACACCGAUUGCGAAGGCAGCUUACCAAACUAUAUCUGACGUUGAGGCACGAAAGCGUGGGGAGCAA
rnacentral:rRNA from 1 species